AAUCAAUGGGCCUCUAAUAUAUUUAAUGAAAUUUAAUAAUUUUAGUUUGGUAUUUACAUAUUUUUCCGUUUUUUUAUGUGUUUGAUUUGAUAAAUAAAAAGAUAUUAACUCCCAAACCCCUAGUUCUCCGAUACCUAUGCACCCACAUCCCUUAAUUCUCUCAUUCCAACCUUCCUCGCGCACAGACCCUCCAUCUACUCCUUCCUUUUGAACUCGUGUUCUGUCUCAUUUCUUCCUUCUUUUUAAUCUUUUAUUUUCUAUUUCUUCUUUAUCUUUCUUCAUUGUGAUAUUCCAGAGAUAAAAAAACUGAGCGACAAAAUUUAAGAAUGGGGAGAGUGCCUGGAUUUGAAGAAUUCGAAGUAGAACUGAUUGAAAAUUUUCAAGAAAUUUUAAGAUUUAAUGUACAAUUCUUUUGAGAAGGGUGACAAUACAAGUUUCCUCUUACUUUUGGAUGAAGAACGAUAAAAGAUGUAUGCAUUUGGGCUUUCGGAGGCUGAAGAUUGAGUCUGAUUAUAUAUAAUUUUGUUAUAAUUUUAUAUGUACUACAUUUUGGGCUAGAUUUGUACUUCUUCCUCUUUCAUGUAUUCCCUAUAAACAUUGUAAAUCAAAGAUUUAACAUUAGUAAAGAAAUUUAUUUCCUUAACUGGUA